rnacentral:rRNA from 1 species
UGGGGAAUAUUGGACAAUGGGGGCAACCCUGAUCCAGCCAUGCCGCGUGAGUGAAGAAGGCCCUAGGGUUGUAAAACUCUUUCGGCGGGGAAGAUGAUGACGGUACCCGCAGAAGAAGCCCCGGCUAACUCCGUGCCAGCAGCCGCGGUAAUACGGAGGGGGCUAGCGUUGUUCGGAAUCACUGGGCGUAAAGCGCGCGUAGGCGGUCCGCGUAGUCAGGCGUGAAAGCCCCGGGCUCAACCUGGGAACUGCGCUUGAUACUGGCGGGCUAGAGUACGGGAGAGGGUAGUGGAAUUCCCAGUGUAGAGGUGAAAUUCGUAGAUAUUGGGAAGAACACCAGUGGCGAAGGCGGCUACCUGGACCGGUACUGACGCUGAGGUGCGAAAGCGUGGGGAGCAAACAGGAUUAGAUACCCCCGUAGUCC